UGCAGCCAGCAGAAAUUGGGAUUUUGCUUCCCCUCGGGCCCUCAGCGUGCCCUCCCUCCUAGUCGGCUAAAUGUGCGCUGAGAAAUUGAGCACGGACAAGUCCUUUUGCAGCUGGGCGCAGGUGCCAGACCUACACCGUUGGGGGAGGACAGGUGGAAGUAACCUAAAAUUGCCAGGCAGCGGAACCGGUGGCCCUCUGUGACUUUAGCCAGAGAUCGUGGAGUCGACUGGAAAAUCUCGAGUCGGGCACUCCCAUAAUACAGAUAGGAAGGCUUGUCCCAGGGAACUGGAGCCGGUCUCAAGGUCACGUGGGAUGACUAGACUCCUUGAGACGGGAAGGGUUCUGAGUUAUAAAGAAACAAGGGCUGUGUGUGAGGAUACUUUGCUGAGUGUUCGAGCCCAUGCCGAGCAGCCGUAGAGGCCCUGGGUUCAUCACCUGCGUAGCAGAGGAAGGAAUAGGUGGAGAAUACGAACCCCAGGGAGACAGCAAGGGCCCCGGAGGAAACCUUUUAAGGAAGCUCCUGUCUGGAAGGCAACCUUGUAGGCAGCCCGCUUUGCCUGUACGGGAGCUAGUUGGAUGAACUCAACUUCAUCUGACAAUGGCAAUGCGUAUUCUCAGCAGGGUCCCCAUCAGACAGUGUCCUCCUCUGUCCAGAGCAACCGAGGAGGGGUGGUCGAGCCCCCUUGGGUUGCCUGGCAUAGUAGAAAACCCUCUUCCUCAUUGGUCAGCGCUUGCUUUGAGCCACGGAUCCACACACAGCCACAGUGUGAGCUGGAGUUCCCCCACACACACACUGAAUGCAGAACUUAGUGCAGAAUAGCUGUUCUCAGAAACGCAGCUCAGGCCAACGAGGAAGGGCAGUGAGGCCUGACUAUACCAGGGUGACUUACCGGAUAACCUGCUGCCUCUGCCCGAAGGUGGGAAGGUGGGCCGUGGACCCAGGCAUUUUCCAUUGAGUUAACCCGUAUUCUCGGAGUCAGAGCUCCCGAGCUGUGUGUAAAUUAGAAUACCUGCUCGGCUGUUUCUGGUUUCCUUGAAGCCAUCCACCACCUGUGUCCUCGGGCAGAUCAGGGAAGGCCUGGGGCAAGGCAACAGUAGAUGGGAACCCAGAGUCCUGAGCAUCACUGUGGGGCAACUACUAAGAAGUAGGAGAUGGGCCUCGGUCUCAGCCUCCCCACUGAGCCUAGUCGCACUCCCCCAGCUUUUGUUCCCUUCCUUUCAAAAUGGGGGUGUGAACUGCCCUUACAGACGUGUGCCAGUCAGAAUCUCUCCUACUGCAGGCCUGGCACAUGGUCACUAUAAGCGUUCACUGAUCGCUCACUGACAUUUGCUGCCGCCCUGCUUUAUGUGAAACUUACAGCAACCGUAGGAUGUGGAAGUGAGCAAGGCAGAGUCAUCCAGCUCGAGUUCCAGACUAUUGCAUGGAGGGCAAGGUUAACAGCGCCUUCUCAGAAGUCCUGCGCGCACCAGAUGCCUGACCAAGAUAAGGUCUGGAAGACCCACAGGAGACAAGUGAUUUGCCCUGAAGUGAUGGCUUGACUGAAUUUGGGAUCAUCUGAGAAACGCACCUCUAGGCAUGUCUACUGAGGUUGUUUCCGGAGAGGUUUAACUGAAGAGGAAAGGUUCACCGUGAACGCCAACCCACGAAUGGGGUUCCAGAGUGAAUGAACGGGGUGUGGAGGAAGCAGGCUGAGCGCCACAGGUGCAGUGUGGCCCACCACCUCCCGCUCCCGCUCACGUGACCUCCACGGUGAUCUGCAUCCCCUUACAUCAUAAGCCACAAUAAACCCUGCCUUGCUGAA